rnacentral:lncRNA from 1 species
UUGGUCUACAAUUUGUGCAUCAUUUGGUUGUUGUAAUCCCUUCUCUUUGCAGAUAAUCUCAGCAUAACCGAGCUUGUGACACUUUCUGCAUUUCAUAUCAGGUUUUCUCCAACACUUGAAGUGUGGAUGAUUUUUCCUCCCACAAUGUUGGCAGGGAGGAUAUUUGCCUUCUCUGUUGUUGCUAGUUGUAGUAACACCAUUUCUCGUUGUUGUUGCUUCGUAGUUUUCAUGAUUCCCUUUCUUUCCUUUUCCUUUGUUUCCCCUGGCACUUGAACCGAACUGCA